GAAAGAUGAAAAGGACUUUGAAAAGAGAGUCAAAGAGUGCUUGAAAUUGUCGGGAGGGAAGCGGAUGGGGGCCGGCGAUGCGCCCCGGUCGGAUGUGGACCGGCUCUCGCCGUUCCACAUCCGACCGGGGCGCAUCGCCGGCCCCCAUCCGCUUCUCUCCCGA
rfam:Gossypium arboreum cultivar AKA8401 contig_2323_7, whole genome shotgun sequence.